rnacentral:rRNA from 1 species
AACACGUGAGUAACCUGCCCUUGACUCUGGGAUAAGCCUGGGAAACUGGGUCUAAUACCGGAUACGACCAUCUGGCGCAUGUCAUGGUGGUGGAAAGCUUUUGUGGUUUUGGAUGGACUCGCGGCCUAUCAGCUUGUUGGUGGGGUAAUGGCCUACCAAGGCGACGACGGGUAGCCGGCCUGAGAGGGUGACCGGCCACACUGGGACUGAGACACGGCCCAGACUCCUACGGGAGGCAGCAGUGGGGAAUAUUGCACAAUGGGCGCAAGCCUGAUGCAGCGACGCCGCGUGAGGGAUGACGGCCUUCGGGUUGUAAACCUCUUUCAGUAGGGAGGAAGCGAAAGUGACGGUACCUGCAGAAGAAGCGCCGGCUAACUACGUGCCAGCAGCCGCGGUAAUACGUAGGGCGCAAGCGUUAUCCGGAAUUAUUGGGCGUAAAGAGCUCGUAGGCGGUUUGUCGCGUCUGCUGUGAAAGACCGGGGCUCAACUCCGGUUCUGCAGUGGGUACGGGCAGACUAGAGUGCAGUAGGGGAGACUGGAAUUCCUGGUGUAGCGGUGAAAUGCGCAGAUAUCAGGAGG